UAAAGUUUUAAUCUAGCUUGGGGGAUUAAUUUAUGGGUUUAUUUAUAUGUAAAUUUUUGUGAUGAGGGGUGUUGGUUUAAAUAGUUAAUAUUAGGUGAAUUUAUUCACAGUAAGUAGUUUUAUAAAUUAAGGGGGGCUUAGAUUUAGAAACUCAUAAUAAUAUUGACAAAAUUUGUGCCAGCAGUUGCGGUUACACAGAUAAUAUAAUUAAUUGUUUUUAGUCGGUAGUAAUAAUUUAAUUUUUCAAAUAUACAUUGGGGUUUGUUAAGUGAAAUUUUAAAUUUUAAUUAAUUUUGAUUAAAAAUUUAAAUGCUAUUAAAUUUUGUUUUAAACUAGGAUUAGAUACCCUAUUAUUGAAAAUGUAAAUUUAAAAUGCUAAACUAGUAGUAGUUACGUUCUUGAAAAUUAAAGAUUUUGGCGGUAUUUUAGUCUUUUCAGAGGAACCUGUCCUAUAAUUGAUAUUCCACGAUUUAUUAUACUUGUUUUAUUAGUUUGUAUAUCGUCGUCAGUUGAAUAUUUUUCAAGAAGCUGAAUAUUCAAAAUUUUUUAUAAUAAAGAAAAUCAGAUCAAGGUGUAGCUUAUAGACAAGAAGAGAUGGGUUACAAUAAUUAUAUUUAAACGAAUUAAAAUAUGAAAAGUUUUAUGAAGGUGGAUUUGAAAGUAAUAAUAUUUAAAUUAAUAUUAUGAUUUUAGCUCUAAAAUAUGCACAUAUCGCCCGUCGCUCUCACUACAAAGUGAGAUAAGUCGUAACAUAGUAGGCGUACUGGAAAGUGUGCCUGGUAAGGCA
rnacentral:ncRNA from 1 species